rnacentral:rRNA from 1 species
GAUAAACGCUAGCGGCAGGCUUAAUACAUGCAAGUCGAGGGGCAGCAUAGAUUGUAGCAAUACAAUUGGUGGCGACCGGCGCACGGGUGCGUAACGCGUAUGCAACCUACCCGUCACAGGGGGAUAAUCCGGAGAAAUCUGGUCUAAUACCACAUAACAUAUGGAUCGGCAUCGGUUCAUGUUGAAAUUUUAGGAGGUGACGGAUGGGCAUGCGUAGCAUUAGCUUGUUGGUGAGGUAACGGCUCACCAAGGGGACGAUGCUUAGGGGGAAUGGGAGGUUUUCCCCCCACACUGGUAAUGAGACACGUACCAUACGCCUACGGGAGGCAGCAGUGAGGAAGAUUGAGCAAUGGGCGCAAGCCUGAACCAGCCAUGCCGCGUGCAGGAUGACGGCUCUAUGAGUUGUAAACUGCUUUUGUACGAGGGUAAAGUGGGUUACGUGUAACCUUUUGAAAGUAUCGUACGAAUAAGGAUCGGCUAACUCCGUGCCAGCCGCCGCGGUAA